rnacentral:rRNA from 1 species
UGCGGCUCCGUGUAAGGGCUGCUCGAAAAGUCGAGUUGUUUGGGAAUGCAGCUCUAAGUGGGUGAUAAAUUCCAUCUAAAGCUAAAUACUGGCGAGAGACCGAUAGCGAACAAGUACAGUGAUGGAAAGAUGAAAAGAACUUUGAAAAGAGAGUGAAAAAGUACGUGAAAUUGUUGAAAGGGAAGGGCAUUUGAUCAGACAUGGUGUUUUGCGCCCCCUGCUCCUUGUGGGGGGGAGGACUCUCGCAGCUCACUGGGCCAGCAUCAGUUUUUGCGGCCGGACAAAGCCGGAGGAAUGUGGCUUCCCCCGGGAAGUGUUAUAGCCUACGGGAACGCGGCCAGCGGGGACUGAGGGAACCCGGACUUUUGUCAAGGAUGCUGGCAUAAUGGUUAUAUGCCGCCCGUCUUGAAACACGGACCAAGGAGUCUAACGUCUAUGCGAGUGUUUGGGUGUAAAACCCGUACGCGGAAUGAAAGUGAACGUAGGUUGGGGCCCCCCGGGGUGCACAAUCGACCGAUCCUGAUGUUUUCGGAUGGAUUUGAGUAGGAGCAUAGCUGUUGGGACCCGAAAGAUGGUGAACUAUGCCUGAAUAGGGUGAAGCCAGAGGAAACUCUGGUGGAGGCUCGUAGCGGUUCUGACGUGCAAAUCGAUCGUCGAAUUUGGGUAUAGGGCGAAAG